rnacentral:lncRNA from 1 species
GACUUGGUUUGGAGUUUCUGUGGAGCCACACUUAUAACAUUGUGGUUGUUACCAUGGUUGCCUACUCAGCUCACAAAGCUCAGAAGUUCUACCAUCUAGUGAUUAAUUAUCUACAGUAGUGGAAAGCCUGGCUCCAUGAGAAGUGCAAGCGAUCGCUGUAGAAGUGGAAGAAUCACAUUCCACAACCAUAAAGAUUUGGGCAUACCUUAGUCUCUCUCUGUAUUACAACGAACAAAAAUAAAAGAUUAAAUCUAAGGAGUAUUGUUGAUUUUGCCAUUUUUCAUAGAAAUCUUUUGAAAUUGCCAUUUUUACUAAAAUCUUACGGAUAUGCCAUUUUCUAACACUUAAAAAUGUACGUAUUUUGGAUUUUUUU